CAGAGUUGCAAAACUCCCACAAACCAUCGCGAAUCUUACCCGUACGGUUGCCUCGGCGCUGGCGGUCCGGAAGGCCCUCGGGCCCCCCGGAUCCUCGGGUCUCCCGCUCGCGGGAGGCUGCCCGCCGGAGUGCCGAAACCAAACUCUUGAUAUUUUAUGACUCUCUGAGUAAACUUUUAAAUAAGUCA
rnacentral:misc_RNA from 1 species